rnacentral:rRNA from 1 species
GACGAACGCUGGCGGCGUGCCUAAUACAUGCAAGUUGAGCGCUGAAGGUUGGUACUUGUACCAACUGGAUGAGCAGCGAACGGGUGAGUAACGCGUGGGGAAUCUGCCCUUGAGCGGGGGACAACAUUUGGAGACGAAUGCUAAUACCGCAUAAAAACUUUAAACACAAGUUUUAAGUUUGAAAGAUGCAAUUGCAUCACUCAAAGAUGAUCCCGCGUUGUAUUAGCUAGUUGGUGAGGUAAAGACUCACCAAGGCGAUGAUACAUAGCCGAACUGAGAGGGUGAUCGGCCACAUUGGGACUGAGGCACGGCCCAAACUCCUACGGGAGGCAGCAGUAGGGAAUCUUCGGCAAUGGACGAAAGUCUGACCGAGCAACGCCGCGUGAGUGAAGAAGGUUUUCGGAUCGUAAAACUCUGUUGGUAGAGAAGAACGUUGGUGAGAGUGGAAAGCUCAUCAAGUGACGGUAACUACCCAGAAAGGGACGGCUAACUACGUG